UGGGGAAUCUUGGACAAUGGGCGCAAGCCUGAUCCAGCCAUGCCGCGUGUGUGAAGAAGGUCUUCGGAUUGUAAAGCACUUUUAAGUUGGGAGGAAGGGUUGUAGAUUAAUACUCUGCAAUUUUGACGUUACCGACAGAAUAAGCACCGGCUAACUCUGUGCCAGCAGCCGCGGUAAUACAGAGGGUGCAAGCGUUAAUCGGAAUUACUGGGCGUAAAGCGCGCGUAGGUGGUUUGUUAAGUUGGAUGUGAAAUCCCCGGGCUCAACCUGGGAACUGCAUUCAAAACUGACUGACUAGAGUAUGGUAGAGGGUGGUGGAAUUUCCUGUGUAGCGGUGAAAUGCGUAGAUAUAGGAAGGAACACCAGUGGCGAAGGCGACCACCUGGACUGAUACUGACACUGAGGUGCGAAAGCGUGGGGAGCAAACAGGAUUAGAUACCCCCGUAGUCCCUGAGCGGGCUGGCAAGGCGCAU
rnacentral:rRNA from 1 species